rnacentral:lncRNA from 13 species
GUCACUGUUAUAGUGUGAUCCUGUGAGUGUGACUGUUAUAGUGUGAUCCUGUGAGUGUGACUGUUAUAGUGUGAUCCUGUCAGUGUGACUGUUAUAGUGUGAUCCUGUCAGUGUGACUGUUAUAGUGUGAUCCUGUCAGUGUGACUGUUAUAGUGUGAUCCUGUAAAUGGCUUCUCUCAGGCUGGUGUGUGACUGUUAUAGUGUGAUCCUGUGAGUGUGACUGUUAUAGUGUGAUCCUGUCAGUGUGACUGUUAUAGUAUGAUCCUGUGACUGUGACUGUUAUAGUGUGAUCCUGUCAGUGUGACUGUCAUAGUGUGAUCCUGUCAGUGUGACCCUGUCCUUGUGUCAUCCUGUCAGUGUGACCCUGUCAUUGUUUGAUCCUGUCAGUGUGUGA